AUUUAACGAGAGUUUGAUCCUGGCUCAGGAUGAACGCUGGCGGCGUGCUUAACACAUGCAAGUCGAGCGAAG
rnacentral:rRNA from 1 species